UAAGAGUUGGUUUGGAUAAAUAUGCGAAGGACAAUACAUGUUAAGUGACCCAAAGACGGUUGGUCUUGUGGACAACGAGGAACAAAACGCCUAAAGGCGGUUGGAAAGCGUUUCCAGCACAAAUACUCAACGUGAACGAGAGCCUUGGGUAAAAAAAGGCAGAGUACCAGUGGUUAAAGACACACAAAAUGUGGACGUCAAAACAAAUGGCUACAUUUGCUCAUGAGGAAGAUGAUAACGAAGAGGAUGAGACUCCUUCAAACCAUAAGAUAGUGGAUGAUUCACACUCAACUGCAAAGCAAUGAAAGAUACUUGAAGGUGUGCAUCACGAAACUCAACGAACUCAGGUACCCUGCACUAUAGGCUAAUAAUGGGGAGGUCGAGGCAGUGGCACACAGACAAAGGAAAAUGUAAAUGUAAAAAUGAUUGGCAAAAUUAUUUUCUCAGUUACCUUUGAAAAUAAAACUGUAUCAGUUAUGCAUAAACAGUAGUGCUGUGUUCAAAAUAUCGAUACGAAGAUACAUCGUCAUGAACGCCUGACGAUGCGCGCAUAUAUACAGCACCUUCCGUAUCGAUUCAGAUGCACUUUUGAAAGUAGCAUGACGAAUCGCUGUUGAUCGAAAAUACGCAUAUGACUCGCGGAAUAUGUAGAGUUAAAGUUAAAGGGCGCACGCGUCUGCACAACUUGCAAACUUCUAUUAAAUACAGUAGUAUUAGGUUUGACUGCAUGUGUAUACAUAUAUUCAUAGAUAUAGA